rnacentral:rRNA from 1 species
CACGUAGGAGGCGAGCGUUGUCCGGAAUCAUUGGGCGUAAAGAGCGCGCAGGCGGCUUGGCAAGUCGGGUGUGAAAUCCCCAGGCUUAACCUGGGAACUGCAUUCGAGACUGCAUUGCUAGAGUAUGGGAGAGGGAAGUGGAAUUUCCGGUGUAGCGGUGAAAUGCGUAGAUAUCGGAAGGAACAUCAGUGGCGAAAGCGACUUCCUGGCCUGUUCUUGACGCUGAGGCGCGAAAGCUGGGGGAGCAAACGGG